UUCUCUCUUCCUUCCUCCCUUUUGUGUUUGUUUGUUUUGUUGGCCACCUCUUGGUAAUAAAUAUUGGUUUUUGUUAAGCUUUUAACGGUGUAUGGUUUUCAGGCUUCAGUAUGUCUCGAACCCCUCCCUAAUACAAAAGAGGGCUAUUCUAUAUUUGCCUUUGCUGAAUAUCAUGAUGUUCCUGUCUGCCCAGGCCCCUCUGAUGUAUUGACCACUCCCUCCAGCUGGAUUUCAUCCACAGACUUACCAAAGCCACACACUUACCAAAGCCACACUCCAGGCUAUUGUGCAGGUGGUUAAUAAACACAUUUAACAGUAUUGAAGGCGAACACAAUACUUGCCCUUUCCAGCCAUCAGGAUCCUCCCUGACCACCAAAUGGCUUCACAGGGAUAUCAAGCAAGUCCCUAGCACUCUUGGAUGUACUAUGUCUGCUGCCAGAGGCUGCUGUACAUCCAAGAGUUAUAUCACCAUCUUCCUCUACUGUGAGUAAUGCAACAUUCCCAUAGAGUCUGUUAGUAGACUCAGAAAACCUGGAGGUCUGUGGACAAACCUUACUAGUGAAAACCUUCGGGUUUUGUGCUGGAGGGCAGUCAGGAGAACCCUGCUGAUCCAUGCCAGCUUUCUGCCAUGCUUGUCUCUGCUUCCAGCACACUGAAGUCAGGCACCUGUGCUCUGGGGAGAUCAUCCCUGUAGAUCAAACUCAGCCUCUCUGGCCCCCCAGGGCAGUCUUCCAUUAGAACUUGCCAAGUAGAGCCAUCAAAAAGCCACAAUACCUGCUAUUUUGAAGUAUAUGGUUGCAAUUCUUUAAAAUUUAUAUCCAUAAAGAGCUCCAAGUGUGCAUCAGGACCAGGUCAGCAGAAUCUAGAAGUAGCACAGUUUGAAAACUGGAGCUUACUUUAAGUUCAGAAAUUUUCAAGGUUAGUAGAGUGUUAAGCUGUUAAUAUUUGCCUAUUGCCUUCAGCAGGAUUGGGAGUUGGAGUCAUACAGCAAACAAAUUCCACUGAACCUGCUACAGUCAUCUCGUUUCCAAGAACUGCUUUUUUUUGCUGGAAACCAUUUAGGCACUUUAACCUCUGCAUGUGCUGAAGGACCUGCUGGAAGUAGACCCAGUACGGGCCUCACAAAUCCUCACUAAAGGCAGGACUUGAAGAAAAAGGCAAAGCAAAAAUGAAGGCAAAGAAAAUUAUUGUUUGAAUGCCAAAAUGCUGGAUUGUUUUUGCUCUGCGUUUACUGCAAAACAGAGAGAAAAAAGUGUUCUGCAAGAAAGAGACAGACAGGAAGGCAACCCCCAACACUCUUUGUUACUUCUCUUCAAAACAUUAAUUGAACAUAAAGUCAGAAUUUGUCUUGAAAACCUGACAAGACCAUUUACAGUUUCCACAUUUCAGAGAAAAACAGCAGCACUUAAAAGUUGUACAGCAAGUAUGUACAUUUUCCUUGAAAGCUGUUUGUUACAGCCUUAAAUGUCAAUGCUUGCCAGCACCUCUUCAUCUCUCCUGCCAAUCUUUCAGGCUAUCAAAACCCAGGCCACAGUCUCUUGGCAGGCACACAGGCUCUGCUGAAUGAGUUAUAACUUUAAGGCACCAACUCUUAUACAGGUUUGCCAGUGGAAAACAGUCUCUCAUCCUGACUGGCACCACUGUGGAAAGAGCCAGAGGGGACUUUUCUUCCCGCAUUUUAAAUGCCAUUUGAACAACACACGUGCGUUGUUUCACAUUUUUAUGCAGGUUCACCAAUUAAAUUACAGUUUUCCCUGGCUGCCAAAGCUGAAGUUGAUAUAGUUAUAUUGAGAUAUGGCCAGAUGCUGUGUUACAGCUGCCAAACAAGCACCUUUAGUCUACACAGUGGAUCGUUGAUAAUAAAGGACUGCACUUGUACCAGAUACGCUGUCUCCAGCAUUAAUACCUGAGUAGAAGGAUAACUUUUAUUAGAACACAGUUCUGCAAGCUAAAUCUGCUAACUCCAGAGUCUGCAGUGGUUCUGACUCCCAUCUCAGUAGGGCUGUUUCCACAGCCUGCAACUCCAUAAUUGAAGCAAAACCAUCUCAUGAAAGUAAUAUAAUACCAUGAGAAGUACUGAAAGAAUAACCUGAAGAUCUGGUUUUAAUAUGUGAUAUAUUCCACCCUGUGGAGGACUGAAACAGAAGUUCUGUGAGGGACAUGAAUGGGUAUGAAUGACCAUUUCAUCCUCUUCUCCUGUCUGUAUUCACCCUUUGUGGUUCAGAUUUGGUUGCCAGUAUGCAGAGGAAAAACAAAGACAAAUAACACUUUUGAGAUAGGUCAGGCAGGCUCAUUUUGUUUAAAAUUGAGAGUCAAAUUACAUUUUGAUAUACUUACACUGCUAAGGCUGAAACUAUCCAAGAAAGAACUGAGCCUACUUUGGGGCACCUGAAAAUUAAUUAAGAGGAAGACAUGAAGGACUCCACUUUCUAUUUUAUAAAAAUAUUCCC